GAGCGUUCAGACAGACGACACUGAUAUUGACAUCAUGAUUCGUGAACGCAAAUUUUAUGGAAGAAAUGAGAUGCAGCAACUACACAAAUUCUUGGAUGCAGCUAGGACAAUGUAGGAUAUCUUCAAUCUAGGACACUAAAGACAAGAUGGGCUAGUUAUCAAAUUUGACCUCCCCUAUAUCAUGCAGGAAGGUACAUGUACAUGGAUGUUUAAAAAAUUCCACAAAUGGUGAAGAAAAUGGCAAGGGAAGACGCCUGGUAAAUGUUUCAAGUAAAAUUCAGCAAUUGAGUUUCUGGAAAGCCAAGCAUACAUAACCAAAGGAUAUUUUCAUAGAAUGGACUUCUGUAGGCCAAAAAAAUAAAGACAACGUCAAGAAGAGUGACAUUUAGAAGAAAGAACAUUCAAUUAAUAAUGUUAUUAUGUCAACAACAAAAACAUAAAUGUUGAUUGUAACGUUUUGAGAAUGCUGUAAAUAAAAGUAGAGUGAAAUCAAAAUCCAAGUUUUUUUUCAAAUUUAUAUUCUGCAACAAAUAGACAACAGAGAGAAAAAAUAUAAAUAUAUUCUUAAGCAGAUUUAUUGACUUUUUCAUUUAAUAUGUUUAAAAACAAUUAUACAAUCUCAGAUCAUUUAACAUGCAAGGGACACAACUUCAAAAUUGUAUUUAAAUUGAUGCUAAAGGAACCAUUAAUACACUUUUUGGGUUUUCCUUUUCAUAUUACAUGUAUUAUAUGCAUAA